ACGCUCGACACCUACGGAAGGCAGCAGUGGGGAAUAUUGCACAAUGGGGGAAACCCUGAUGCAGCGACGCCGCGUGGAGGAAGAAGGUCUUCGGAUUGUAAACUCCUGUUGUUGGGGAAAAAGAGGAUGGUACCCAACAAGGAAGUGACGGCUAACUACGUGCCAGCAGCAGCGGUAAUCUGAGCGGGCUGGCAAGGC
rnacentral:rRNA from 1 species